rnacentral:rRNA from 1 species
ACGAACGCUGGCGGCAGGCCUAACACAUGCAAGUCGAGCGAGGACUUCGGUUCUAGCGGCGGACGGGUGAGUAACGCGUGGGAAUGUGCCCUUCUCUACGGAAUAGCCCUGGGAAACUGGGAGUAAUACCGUAUACGCCCUAUUGGGGAAAGAUUUAUCGGAGAAGGAUCAGCCCGCGUUGGAUUAGGUAGUUGGUGGGGUAAUGGCCUACCAAGCCGACGAUCCAUAGCUGGUUUGAGAGGAUGAUCAGCCACACUGGGACUGAGACACGGCCCAGACUCCUACGGGAGGCAGCAGUGGGGAAUCUUAGACAAUGGGGGCAACCCUGAUCUAGCCAUGUCGCGUGAGUGAUGAAGGCCUUAGGGUUGUAAAGCUCUUUCAGCUGGGAAGAUAAUGACGGUACCAGCAGAAGAAGCCCCGGCUAACUCCGUG